rnacentral:rRNA from 1 species
CAGUCGCCACGGUAAAACGUAGGUGGCAAGCGUUGUCCGGAAUUAUUGGGCGUAAAGCGUCUGUAGGUGGCUUUUCAAGUCCGCCGUCAAAUCCCAGGGCUCAACCCUGGACAGGCGGUGGAAACUACCAAGCUGGAGUACGGUAGGGGCAGAGGGAAUUUCCAGUGGAGCGGUGAAAUGCGUUGAGAUCGAAAAGAACACCAACAGCGAAAGCACUCUGCUGGGACGACACUGACACUAAGAGACGAAAGCUAGGGGAGCAAAUGGGAUUAGAUACCCCAGUAGUCCCUGUCUCUUAUAC